CGCAUCUUGCGCUCCCCGGCAUUCCGGGGAGCAUGCCUGUUUGAGUGUCAUGAAAUUCUCAACCCCUCCGGUCCUGUACAGGACUCGGACGGGGCUUGGAUCUUGGACGUCUGCAGGGACCGACAGGCCCCGGCUCGUCCCAAACCCAUUAGCGAUCGCCUGCCUUGGUUCAACGGUCCGACUCGGCGUGAUAGUAAUUUGAACUCCGUCGAGGACACCGGCUCCACUGGGAGCGCUCACGGUGACCGUCCAUUGCGGUUCGGACGCUGACAGUUAGAGAACGAGCCAAGCUCAUUUAUUUCGACCUCAAAUCAGGUAGGACUACCCGCUGAACUUAA
rnacentral:misc_RNA from 1 species